rnacentral:tRNA from 1 species
ACCAAUGUGGCAUAGUGGUUUGAGUGUUGAACUAUGAUUCUAGAGACCAGGGUUCAAUUCCCCGCUUGACC